rnacentral:tRNA from 1 species
GGAGAAGUAGCUCAGCAGGUAGAGCACAUGCACGAAAGGUCCUUUUAUUAUUACCUUGAUUUAAAAUAAAACAAGGCUUAAUUUAAAAUGAGUCAUUAAAGUAAAUAAAAAAGUAGGGUGUCGUUUUAGAAUCUUACUUCUUUUGUUAAACGUUUGGCCGCAGGUUCGACUCCUGCCUUCCCUG